rnacentral:lncRNA from 1 species
GUUUUAAUCAUGAUAGCUGUGUUAAACACAUGUCUAACAUAGCUCAGUAUCCCAAUUGACAACAUCUACAAGAAUGAUAUGUUUACAAAUUGUCUUGAUAUCUAGAUAGAAAUUUUAAUGAAAAGUAACACAACAAAACUGUCGAGAGUAAGGUUGCACUUUGUUAAUACAGCUGUUUCUUAAAGCAUACCUCUUUUUUGGAGACAUAGAAUAUACAUAGAUAAUUGAUUUUGUUUACAUACUGGUUCCCAGUUAUGAUCUCUAGGUUUUUGG